GCGACUAUAAAUGUGAAUGUACCGACGCCUCGAUGAAACGAUACAGACGCACUGCUCUAUGUGUGGUGUGGAACCUUCCCCCGACCUGCCACUUGGACGCUCCAGCCCCCGGAAAGUGCUGCCAGACUCCCAACUGCCCUUCAGAUGUCGUCCUAAGUUACCCACCAGGCUAUACGGUGGAAUAAGAAACGCUUCACGACGUUUUCAAGACGUUCGGUCACUUUUAUAAAGUUUUUUUUGUACAAAAGUUAUGAGUUUUAAUUGUCUGAGAUUUUUCUUGAAAUAUUUGUUCAUUGUGUUUUGUAAAUAAAUUACAAGAUGUUGAAAUGUU